rnacentral:rRNA from 1 species
GACGAACGCUGGCGGCGUGCCUAAUACAUGCAAGUCGAACGCUUCUUUUUCACCGAACUUCGGUUCAUCGAAAAAGAGGAGUGGCGAACGGGUGAGUAACACGUGGGUAACCUGCCCAUCAGAAGGGGAUAACACUUGGAAACAGGUGCUAAUACCGUAUAAUGCUUUUUCUCGCAUGAGAGCAAGCUGAAAGGCGCUUUUGCGUCACUGAUGGAUGGACCCGCGGUGCAUUAGCUAGUUGGUGAGGUAACGGCUCACCAAGGCCACGAUGCAUAGCCGACCUGAGAGGGUGAUCGGCCACACUGGGACUGAGACACGGCCCAGACUCCUACGGGAGGCAGCAGUAGGGAAUCUUCGGCAAUGGACGAAAGUCUGACCGAGCAACGCCGCGUGAGUGAAGAAGGUUUUCGGAUCGUAAAACUCUGUUGUUAGAGAAGAACAAGGAUGAGAGUAAAAUGUUCAUCCCU